rnacentral:lncRNA from 1 species
UCAGUCAGUCCUUAAUUGAUUGUUUAUGGACAAUAUAGAUUUAGAGUGAGUGGAUGGGUCACAUGUUUCCUUCUUGACCUCAAGUUACGGGCAUCCCCAUUGGAGGGAGGAUACAAUGAUUAUUCCAUCUCCUCAUUCAAAGUAUUUUAUGCUCCCGCGGGAGCAUCUUCUUCUGUUGGCUCAUUCUCGUGCCUCACAUAAAACCUAGACACCAAAUUUUGGGAUGCACGAGCUCCUUAGUCCCAAAAUAAUAAAAAAAUGGACAUGAUGUAAAGAAAAACAAAAAAAAUGAAAAAACAAGUUAAACUUUUCAAGAAAAAAGGAAACGAAAAUUAUAAACAAAUCAAAGGCACUUUUUACUUGGUUGGAAAUAAA